rnacentral:tRNA from 1 species
GAGGCUGAAGCUCAGUGGGAGAGUGCUUGCCUUCCAUGUGGGAGGCACUGGGUUCGAUCCUCAGCACCACA